GAUGAACGCUGGCGGCGUGCCUAAUACAUGCAAGUCGAGCGAACAGACGAGGAGCUUGCUCCUCUGACGUUAGCGGCGGACGGGUGAGUAACACGUGGAUAACCUACCUAUAAGACUGGGAUAACUUCGGGAAACCGGAGCUAAUACCGGAUAAUAUAUUGAACCGCAUGGUUCAAUAGUGAAAGACGGUUUUGCUGUCACUUAUAGAUGGAUCCGCGCCGCAUUAGCUAGUUGGUAAGGUAACGGCUUACCAAGGCAACGAUGCGUAGCCGACCUGAGAGGGUUGUCGGCCACACUGGAACUGAGACACGGUCCAGACUCCUAGGGGAGGCAGCAGUAGGGAAUCUUCCGCAAUGGGCGAAAGCAUGACGGAGCAACGCCGCGUGAGUGAUGAAGGUCUUCGGAUCGUAAAACUCUGUUAUUAGGGAAGAACAAAUGUGUAAGUAACUAUGCACGUCUUGACGGUACCUAAUCAGAAAGCCACGGCUAACUACGUG
rnacentral:rRNA from 1 species